AGUGAACGCUGGCGGUAGGCCUAACACAUGCAAGUCGAACGGCAGCACAGUAAGAGCUUGCUCUUACGGGUGGCGAGUGGCGGACGGGUGAGGAAUACAUCGGCAUCUACUUUUUCGUGGGGGAUAACGUAGGGAAACUUACGCUAAUACCGCAUACGACCUACGGGUGAAAGCAGGGGAUCUUCGGACCUUGCGCGAUUGAAUGAGCCGAUGUCGGAUUAGCUAGUUGGCGGGGUAAAGGCCCACCAAGGCGACGAUACGUAGCUGAUCUGAGAGGAUGAUCAGCCACACUGGAACUGAGACACGGUCCAGACUCCUACGGGAGGCAGCAGUGGGGAAUAUUGGACAAUGGGCGCAAGCCUGACCCAGCCAUGCCGCGUGAGUGAAGAAGGUCUUCGGGUUGUAAAGCCCUUUUAUUGGGAAAGAAAAGCAGCAUGUUAAUCCCCCGCUGUUCUGACGGUACCCAAAGAAUAAGCACCGGCUAACUUCGUG
rnacentral:rRNA from 1 species